rnacentral:lncRNA from 1 species
GACCCAACCCGAAUGAGAUGGAUUUUAUCCGAUCUGAGUAAAACAUGGGGUGGGUAUAGAUUCUAAAAAAAAAAAAUUUGAAGUGGGUUCAGUUUAGAUACGAGUAAUGGUAUGCCCUACCCCGAUUAUGAUAUGAUAAAACUAUCAUUGCAAGUCUGACUGACGUCGGUCAUCUAUCGCUAUGGAGCUUAGAUGCAGUUUGAGGGUGCUUCCUAAUGAAAAUUCAUACUCAUCGGAGAGGCUUUGAUGGAGGACC